rnacentral:rRNA from 1 species
AAAAGAACUUUGAAGAGAGAGUUCAAAAGGGCGUGAAACCGCUUAGAAGAAAACGGACGGAACCGUCUGACGCCCUCGGGAAUCAGUCGAACGACGCGCGAACGCGUCUCGAUCGUCGGAGCGUAAAAGUCCGGCUCGAGGCGUCUAGUAGUCGCGUUCGUAAGGCGCAUUUCUCGAGGGUUAGCGCCGCGACCGAUGCGAACGGCCGACGACGCCGUCGAGUUGAGGUCGAACGCCCUUCGCGGGUAUUCGUAACCAGCUCGUUCGGUAUAUUGUCGGAUCUCUAAUAGCAUCGAGCGAAUACUAUCCAAUACGUCGGCGUAAAACGCUCGACGAGCGGCGGAGACUCGGCCAGUCGUUCGGUACCUGCUCGCAGGUGCUCGUUCGGCGCGAGGUCGUUUCCCGAUGUCGCCGUCGACGCUACCGACGUUUAGGCGUCCGCGGCGUCCGAGUCGGUCACCCGUCCGACCCGUCUUGAAACACGGACCAAGGAGUCUAACGUACGCGCGAGUUAAUGGGUGGAAAACCCAUAAGCGCAAUAAAAGUAAAAGUCGUCCUAAGGCGGCCGAGGUACGAUCCUAGACUACGCGUCUAGGCGCAGUACCGUCCCGUCCCGACCGCACGUCGGUAGGGCGGAGAUUGAGCGCAUACGUUGGGACCCGAAAGAUGGUGAACUAUGCCUGAGCAGAGCGAAGCCAGAGGAAACUCUGGUGGAGGUUCGUAGCGGUUCUGACGUGCAAAUCGAUCGUCAGACUUGGGUAUAGGGGCGAAAGACUAAUCGAACCAUC